AUGGAAGCGUGGAGGUUACAGGAAGCUCCUCCUCCUCCAUGUGAUGACUGUCUCUAACCCUGGGGGGAGAUAAUGACCUGUCAGGAGACAUGUCGCGUCCUCGCAGCGUCUUUGAGGAGAUCAGGCCCUGUGGACGGUUACCUGGCAGCCUGUGCAUGGGGGAGGCUGCAGGUCCCUGAACGCAGCGUUACUCAGCCUCCUUCCACUGAUCCUCAUCACGACAUCAGCUCCAUCUGAGGCCACAGAUUAUGUUUCAUCUCCGGCCUGAUUCCAGACUAACGACACAAACAGGACGUCAGCGCAGGAUCAAAUGGAACAGACUCACUAACAGACUUUAGAAGAAGAAGAACCGGGACGUAAUUCCACCUUAAAGCGUCCGUGCUCCUGCUGAGGCCUGGAGACGAUUGAUCUGUGAGAGUAGACGGACGUGUGAAAGCCUGCAGAGAGUUUCUAUUGAUUUGAGGAGGCGUUCAGGAUGAAUCCCUGAUAACGAAAAGGUCAGCGCCUCUUAAUCCGGUCUCUAAUCAGAACCGAGGUCCUGGGUCGUUUCUAAACGUUGAGCCUGAGGAAUGAAGGUCCGACCCCCAUGGGACCAGACUGGGGAGCCUGUGGCCCCUGAACCUGAGUUAAAGGAUCGCUCCUUUUAAUUAGACGGCUCCGAUGUGAUGCAGCCUGGUGAUGAGAAGUUAACGAGCGAGGACGAGCUGUGCCAGGACGAGCUGAGUUAACGAGAAGCAGCAGGGGGACGAGCGGCGGCCAAGAGCUGCUAAUGAGCUCGUUGAAUUAACUCCAACUCGUGUUUGGAGGGCGAACGGGACGACGACCUUUACACGUGUUGACAUGAAUUAUUUCUGAUCAUUUCUGGUCAUAGUCAGUGUUCAGUUCUCUUUGUUAGCAUCAGAUGCUCUCAUUCGCAAAACCAGACAAGAGACAAUAAAGAAAAUAAACAUUAAAAAAGUCUUUAAUUUGUGCUUAAGGUCAGAACGUUUGAACUGUGUCUGUGUGAGACGAAAGAAACAGGAAGAGCUACUGUUAGC